rnacentral:rRNA from 1 species
UACGAAGGGGGCUAGCGUUGUUCGGAAUUACUGGGCGUAAAGCGCACGUAGGCGGAUUGUUAAGUCAGAGGUGAAAUCCCGGAGCUCAACUUCGGAACUGCCUUUGAUACUGGCAAUCUCGAGUCCGGAAGAGGUUAGUGGAAUUCCCAGUGUAGAGGUGAAAUUCGUAGAUAUUGGGAAGAACACCAGUGGCGAAGGCGGCUAACUGGUCCGGUACUGACGCUGAGGUGCGAAAGCGUGGGGAGCGAACAGG